rnacentral:rRNA from 1 species
AGAAGCAGCCAUCAUUUAAAGAAAGCGUAAUAGCUCACUGGUCGAGUCGGCCUGCGCGGAAGAUGUAACGGGGCUAAACCAUGCACCGAAGCUGCGGCAGCGACGCUUAUGCGUUGUUGGGUAGGGGAGCGUUCUGUAAGCCUGUGAAGGUGUACUGUGAGGUAUGCUGGAGGUAUCAGAAGUGCGAAUGCUGACAUAAGUAACGAUAAAGCGGGUGAAAAGCCCGCUCGCCGGAAGACCAAGGGUUCCUGUCCAACGUUAAUCGGGGCAGGGUGAGUCGACCCCUAAGGCGAGGCCGAAAGGCGUAGUCGAUGGGAAACAGGUUAAUAUUCCUGUACUUGGUGUUACUGCGAAGGGGGGACGGAGAAGGCUAUGUUGGCCGGGCGACGGUUGUCCCGGUUUAAGCGUGUAGGCUGGUUUUCCAGGCAAAUCCGGAAAAUCAAGGCUGAGGCGUGAUGACGAGGCACUACGGUGCUGAAGCAACAAAUGCCCUGCUUCCAGGAAAAGCCUCUAAGCAUCAGGUAACAUCAAAUCGUACCCCAAACCGACACAGGUGGUCAGGUAGAGAAUACCAAGGCGCUUGAGAGAACUCGGGUGAAGGAACUAGGCAAAAUGGUGCCGUAACUUCGGGAGAA